rnacentral:rRNA from 1 species
GACUCCUACGGGAGGCAGCAGUGGGGAAUAUUGCACAAUGGGCGCAAGCCUGAUGCAGCGACGCCGCGUGAGGGAUGAAUGCCUUCGGGUUGUAAACCUCUUUCAGUAGGGAAGAAGCGAAAGUGACGGUACCUGCAGAAGAAGCGCCGGCUAACUACGUGCCAGCAGCCGCGGUAAUACGUAGGGCGCAAGCGUUAUCCGGAAUUAUUGGGCGUAAAGAGCUCGUAGGCGGUUUGUCGCGUCUGCUGUGAAAGCCCGGGGCUCAACCCCGGGUCUGCAGUGGGUACGGGCAGACUGGAGUGCAGUAGGGGAGACUGGAAUUCCUGGUGUAGCGGUGAAAUGCGCAGAUAUCAGGAGGAACACCGAUGGCGAAGGCAGGUCUCUGGGCUGUUACUGACGCUGAGGAGCGAAAGCAUGGGGAGCGAACAGGAUUAGAUACCCUGGUAGUCCAUGCCGUAAACGUUGGGCACUAGGUGUGGGGGACAUUCCACGUUUUCCGCGCCGUAGCUAACGCAUUAAGUGCCCCGCCUGGGGAGUACGGCCGCAAGGCUAAAACUCAAAUGAAUUGACGGGG